CUGGUGUCAGCCGCCGCGGUAAUACCAGCACCCCGAGUGGUCGGGACGAUUAUUGGGCCUAAAGCAUCCGUAGCCGGUCCUGCAAGUCUUCCGUUAAAUCCAGCUGCUCAACAGAUGGGCUGCGGGAGAUACUACAGGGCUAGGAGGCGGGAGAGGCAAGCGGUACUUUAUGGGUAGGGGUAAAAUCCGCUGAUCCAUAGAAGACCACCAGUGGCGAAGGCGGCUUGCCAGAACGCGCUCGACGGUGAGGGAUGAAAGCUGGGGGAGCAAACCGGAUUAGAUACCCGGGUAGUCCCAGCUGUAAACGAUGCAGACUCGGUGAUGGGUUGGCCUCGCGCCUGCCCAGUGCCGCAGGGAAGCCGUUAAGUCUGCCGCCUGGGGAGUACGGUCGCAAGACUGAAACUUAAAGGAAUUGGCGGGGGAGCAUCACAAGGGGUGAAGCCUGCGGUUCAAUUGGAGUCAACGCCGGGAAUCUUACCGGGGGCGACAGCAGAAUGAAGGUCAAGCUGAAGACUUUACCAGACAAGCU
rnacentral:rRNA from 2 species